rnacentral:rRNA from 1 species
UACGUAGGGGGCAAGCGUUGUCCGGAAUUAUUGGGCGUAAAGCGCGUGUAGGCGGCUUUGCAAGUCGGGUGUGAAAGCCCUCAGCUCAACUGAGGAAGUGCGCCCGAAACUGCAUAGCUUGAGUACCGGAGAGGAUGGUGGAAUUCCCGAAGUAGAGGUGAAAUUCGUAGAUAUCGGGAGGAACACCGGUGGCGAAGGCGACCAUCUGGACGGAUACUGACGCUGAGACGCGAAAGCGUGGGUAGCAAACAGG